rnacentral:lncRNA from 8 species
GCAGAUCUCAAUGUCCCCUCAAUAUGAACAGAUAUUCAAUUAGAUGGAAUAAUCAUCUGACUCUUUGUCACUGUCACAUCUCUCCUUCUCCCUCUCCCUCUCCCUCGCUGUCUUUCUCUCGCCCUCUCUCUUUCUCUCUCCCUCUCCCUCGCUGUCUUUCUCUCUCCCUCUCUCUCCUCUCUCUCUCCCUCUCCCUCUCUCUCUCUCUCUCUCUCUCUCUCUCACACACACACACACACAGUUCCCAUUUAAUACGGCCAGCUCACUGUCUCUCCUCUACCAGACAGACAGAGGUGGAACAGAUGGAGAGAGAGACCAGAGAGAUGGAAUGGAGGGAGAUAGAGAACCGGGUGAGAGAGGGAGCAGAACCAGAAACGGCUCUUUUCCCUGUCUGUCCAUGUGAGUGGCUCAUUGAUACUGUCUGAGAUCUAUUCACUGAGGGACACAUUUAAUCAACACCUCAAUCUGGGUUUUGGGGAUGUGUCAAAAACAUUAUUCCUCUUGCCCUGAGAGAGAGCAAGUCUGGAUUCCUGUACCCAACUGUAAAACACUACCUUUACCUCUACAGCUGUCACCUGUGAGUGUGUGUGAGUGUGUGUGAAUGUGUGUGUGUUAGCAUCCCCAGGGAUUUGGGUUUGUGGCUGAUUAUUCAUAUCUACCCCCUCCCUCCCUCUCCUGCUCUCACUCACUCACUCACUCACUCACUCACUCACUCACUCACUCACUCACUCACUCACUCACUCACUCACUCACUCACUCACUCACUCAUUCUCUCACUCCCUCAUUCACUCAUUCUCUCUCCCGCUCUAUCUCUCUCUCCCCCUUUCGCUCCCUCUCAAUUCAAUUCCAUUUCUCUCUCUCCCUCGUUUCUUCCAUCCCUAGUGUCCCAGCUCAGCAGAUUUUAACCCUGGCUACUCUCCUCUCUGUCAGCCCUACUCCCUCUCUUCAUUCUAUCUCCUCUCUGUCAGCCCCUACUCCCUCUCUCUCUCUUCAUUCUAUCUCCUCUCUGUCAGCCCCUACUCCCUCUCUCUCUCUUCAUUCUAUCUCCUCUCUGUCAGCCCCUACUCCCUCUCUCUCUCUUCAUUCUAUCUCCUCUCUGUCGCCCCUCCUACACACACUCUCUCUGUACCUCUCUCUACCUCUCUCUCUCUCCCUCUCUCUACACACACUUUCUCUCUACCUCUCUCUCUCCCUCUCUCUACACACACUCUCUCUACAUUCUCUCCCUCUCUCUACACACUCUCUCUCUCUACCUCUCUCUCUACACACACUCUCUCUACCUCUCUCUACCUCUCUACCUGUCUUUACACACUCCCUCUCUCCCUCUCUCCCUCUCUCUAUUUACAAUGGUGUUUGUUCUUCGCUGGUUGCCCUUUUCUUGUGGCAACAGGUCACAAAUCUUGCUGCUGUGGUGGAACACCGUUGUAUUUCACCCAGUAGAUAUGAAAGUUGAUCAAAAUUAGAUUUGUUUUCGAAUUCUUUGUGGGUCUGUGUAAUCUGAGGGAAAUGUGUGUCUCUAAUAUGGUCAUACAUUUGGCAGGAGGUUAGGAAGUGCAGCCCAGUUUCCACCUCAUUUUGUGGGCAGUGUGCACAUAGCCUGUCUUCUCUUGAGAGCCAUGUCUGCUCAGUUUUUUGUUGAUUCUUUCAAAUG